UGAGCGGGCAUAGCAAUGGCUUGCUUUGUGCAAGAGGAAAGUCCGAGCUCCGCAGGGCAGGGUGACUGAUAACGUCAGCCGAUGAGAGUCAGGGAAAGUGCUACAGAAAAGAAAACUCCCCUUGAAAAAGGAGAAAAGCUGAAAAGGCGGUGUAAGAGACCACCGGAUCUUUUGAGAGAAAGAUGCCCGGCAAACCCCACCCGGAGCAAGACCGAUUAAGGAGUCAAGGUUUGCCCGACCGUUCCUUGGGUGUGUCGCUUGAGCUGUUCGGCAACGGACAGUUUAGAUAGAUCAUUGCAUAAUACAGAACUCGGCUUAUAAGUCCGCUCAACGG
rnacentral:RNase_P_RNA from 1 species